rnacentral:lncRNA from 1 species
AAAAUUUAAAUUUUGGAUUAAUUAUUUUUUCACAUUAAAAUAUUAUGUGAUAGAUAUAUGACUAUAACAUGCCAUUAUGAAUUCAUGACGGAAAAUAUUCUGUCAUAAAUUUAUGACAGUGACAUAAAUGACGGAUGAACUGUCUGUCAUGUACUAUCUUUUACGACAGUUAUUUUCUAUUAUCUGUUGCCUAUUUUCUUGUAGUGAAGGAUCCUUUUGCAGGUCCUUGAGUUCCUUUAAAAUACGCUUUGAAGCCAUGACUCUUCAAGGGAUUAUUAAAAUUAAAGCUACAACGAACCUUAAGACCUGCAAAACUGUAAACAGAUCCAUAUACAGCUUCUUAAUUAGACUAUCCAAGCUUGUAAAACAACAAAUUAUUUGAUCUACUGCAUCUGAAUUAAAAAGUGUAAAUCAAAAUUUCAAAAAUACUAAAAACAUCAUGACGCAAAUUGACCUUGCGCGGCAGAGAACAGGAUCGUAGGGCAAUAGCGUCGAGAAAGCGAAACAGUGAAGCAGAUCUACGUCUUCAAGCCGCCCCCGCCUCACUCCUCUAACAACCCCUUGCUUUGUUCUUCAACACAAAUAUCGUCUAGAAAGAACGUUCGGUGUUAUAAUGGAUUCACAUAAGCGAAAACGAACAAGCUAACCCUAAAUAGCGUGAACAAAUCAAAGCUUGAAAUUAUGAAAACACAAUCGAAAUCACGGCAUAAUGGAUUCACAUAAGUGACGAGAAACAACAUGCAAACGAGAAAUUGGACCUGAGGAGUGGCUAAGAGGCCGAGAUGGUAGAGAGACUGUUGUUGAAGAAGCGCUUGCUGCACCAGUGCUUGUUGCUGCUGCUAAUGCUGCUUCAACCUCCGGUACUGCAUUUUCUUUCAGAAUCGAAGGAUUUGUAAACUGUUUGUCGAAGGAUUUGUAAAUUGUUUGGUUCCUAAGAAAAUUUCGUUAAGGUUUCUUGAGAAAAUGAAAGAAAAGAAAAAAAAUGAAGAAAAUGAGAGAGUGACGAGAGAAGCAGCGUUUUAUUUUCUAAGUGUGUAUGACUGCAUUCAUUUAACACUUAGGAAAAAAAUGAAGAAAAAAAGUUUAAAGUACUCAAAACGGUACAGUUUUG